AUGCUCUGCUCUCUCCUUGCCCUUCUCCUGGGCACUUUCUUAACAGGUGUCGGAGCACAGACCAUCCAUCAGUGGCCAUCUACCAAGGUGAAGCUUAAGGGGAGCCCACUCUCCCUGGAGUGCACAGUGAAGGGGACAUCAAGCCCCAACCUAUACUGGUACCGGCAGGCUGAAGGAGGGGGCCCUCAGAUGCUCUUCUACUCCAUCACUGCUGGCCAGGUAGACUCUCAGGCGCCCGAGAACUUCGAAGCCUCCAGGCCCGAGGAUGGCUACUUCAUCCUACGUUCUAAGAAGCUCCUGCUCAUCGACUCUGGCUUCUAUCUCUGUGCUUGGAUGCUGUGA